UAAAAUUUAAAAUUUCUCAACACGUGAUUGAUUCCCACUAUCACGUGACCAAGAUUCCUCGUGAAUAAAGUUCGUCUGCCAGUAAAGCAUAUUUGACUAUUUCAAUUUGGUACAAUGAACCGGCAGGCUGGAUUCUCUACAUUGGUGCAGCUGACAGAAUAGUGAAGCUAGAUCAAUAAGAUUUGAUUGAUGAAAAGAGUGCUUACGAUCCAGAAUAAGAAGAGUGGAUAGUGGGUCAUGGCACAAAGCAUAGUACUGUACCAUAUUAUGAAGAGAUUACCCCAAAGACUUUUUGAGGAAUAUACAGGUUUUAAACUGCAGAAGAGGUAAGAAAAUAAUAUUUUUUCUUUACUUUGUUGCAGUGGAAAUCUCAUGGCAGAAUGCUAAGCGUAAAGGGAGUUAAAAAGGAAGAUCUAUGGAUUGUGGCGGAAGAGCUUCGUGGCACAAUAGACAAUGAUCUGAAGUAUAUCCAUUGUGUCUGCGAAGCACUCCACUGUGUAUUCUGCUACUGGUGAAAAGAAGAAGAAGAAGAAGCUUAUUCUCAAUGAGAAAAUUCAGAUAAUAUGUAAAAAUGGCAGCUAUGUCAAUUGCUCAUGAGUUUGGGCUAUUACAAUCAAUGACAGCCCAAAUUUGCAUUAUGUAUUGUAAUCUUGUAUAUAGCCUAUUUAUUUACUUACAUUUUUGACUUACGAUAUGAUGGAGUUACAAUGCACGUCAAGGAGAGAUGAUAUCUAUUUCCUAUCGCAUAACUUCAAAAACUAUUUGACUACAAGAGAGACUAGUACAACCAUUUCAUUCUAGAACUGUGGAAAGAGCAAAUUCCAUUUUUCCUUGUUUUUGAAUUAGUGGUUUACAUUAAAAAGAACAGAACUAGUUUUUGUGCUUUCAAUUGGAUCAUUUGUUAUUCUAACUUACUAUGUACAAAAAUAAAUUAACAAAAAUAAGAAGGAAUUAUUACUUGGAUGUUUGUAUGUUUCAUGUAAAAAUCAUCCUAAUUGUUUAAUUUGGCAACAUAAUUAUAUUGCACAAUAUAUAUAAUGUGAGAUCCGAAUAGCCCCCGGGUCUAAAUUAAUAAUUUAAAAAUAAUGUUAAAGUUUUGUCAUAAAAUAUUCUUUCAUUUGGGAUGGAAAAAUAACGUUUUUUAGUGUGGGAAAACAGCUAGGAGAGUCACUUCCUUCCAGGGAAGUUAGAACAUCCUCUGUUUUUCCCUUAUCUGCCAAAAAUCUCGCUUCGGUGGGAACUGCUUACCCUUCAUUUCAUCCCCUUCCCAUCCGUUCACGUGGAUAUUGCCUCGACUGAUAAUUGGUCGUAGAUGAGAAGAUAUAUGGCAUGUUCAACCGAAUUUGGGGAGUUUGUCAGAAAUCUCAUAGAGGAGAGACGUCUCCCAUACUGGCUCCCCAGCUCCCUUAGGAGUUCAUCAGGAGAUCUGAUAGUAGAAAGAAGUCUCCAUAUUGGUUCCACACUGCCCUUAGGAGUUCGUCAACAGACCCCCGAGCAUUAAGACGAAGUCCGAACAAGCUCCUGAUGGCCAACGCCCUUAGUCGAAUCACAGAGAAUAAAUCCAGAGUUAGCGCUUAGAAGAUAUACUUUAGUAUUGUGCACAUCUCAAUCUCCCAUGGAAUGAAGUUUGAGAACUUUAUAAACGAAGCGCCUUUGCCAACCGAUGAAGAUGAUGAGUGACAACUAAACCAGGUUGUAUGUUUAAUAGCGAUAUUGUAAGCUCUCUCUCUCAAUUGUGUAUCGGUUAAAGGAUAAGUUCUUAUAUCUCUCGACUUAUAUUUAUAUAUUGUGAUUUGAAUUAAUUGUCUCUCAUUCGUUUGCUUAUUAUAAUGGUAUUAAUCCAUUAGUGUAUAGUCACAAAUAUAUAUAUGAUUGAUUAAAUUUAUUCUUGUUUAUUUGUUAAAGGAUGUCUCAUUAUUAUUAUUUCUUGAAUAGGAUCUACAGCAUAAAUUUCACGCGUGUUUAUCCGCGUUACGCAAGUAGAUAAACUGGUGUCGGGAACCUGACGUUGUGAUAGAGACUUCACAGUCUUUAAUCCUCAUUAAGCCUGAAUAUUACAGCCCUCCUAUGAAGAUUUAAGAUCAGAUCUCGCGAUUCGAAACUUUAGAGAACUAUUCUCACGGAAUAGGCCAGUAAGUGGUGUAAACUUAGUUCUACGUCCUGGUGGAUCUCACAAUAAUUAUAGAUUCAUUAUUUGUGAUCUGUAAGACUAGUAUUCUAACAAGGGAAGCCUGGGUGGUUGUCAUCACUGAUUUCAACAAAACUUCAUGGAUGUAUAGUAUUUACUGUUGCUUAAACGCUGCAGGACCCACUAUUCAGGCAUUCUUAAGAAAAUCACAAUCGAAGUUUUUCUAUAACUAUUAAGUACGCAGAAGCACAGUUCACGUGUCUGUUAUCAAAACAAAAUGUAAAGAUUGU